rnacentral:lncRNA from 1 species
CUUUCUUAUGAAAUCGCCCACUACUAAGUCUCACACAACUAGUGCCACUAGUGGCUAUUUCAUGCAACAUAAGCAUGCUUAUAUAGUGUACAUGAUUAGGGUGAAACCCUAAUAACCCAUGACCUUUCCUUUUCCAAGGAUCCAUGGGUUAAAAGCUCCAUGGAUCAUCCAUGGACUUCCAUACAAGCCUAGCCCAUUAACAAAUAAGUGUUAGCCCACACNAUGUGUAUAACUCUCAUAAAAUUAUCCAUAAUAGUUUGGAUGAGAUGCAACCCAAAUGGACCAUGCCGGUCGGGUCAAGUAUAUACCAAAUAAGUUAUGGACUUAGACACCUUAUCCAACAGACUCCCACUUGGAUAAGUCUAAUAACUAUAUUUGCCUAUAACUUCAGGAACCAACCAACAAUCGUAGCUCUCGAAAACUCCCUCGAACAAUGAAGACUCUGUCGAACUAUGAAGCGCCAUUUUAGAUAAGUGAUCACAUAAUCCUCUGUUCUCAUGAUAUCAGCCGGACAAACACAUGGAACUAUGUCUUGCUUAUUGUCUAGCAGUUGUUUCUCGAUUAUCCGAUUUGUUUGACGAAGAACUUCACUGAACACAUCGGUUUAGUUCUGACCAGGCCUGGUAUAUGGGUCAACACAAAAUCAUCGAGGGGCCCGGAUAUCGCUUCUAUUUCUAGAAGGAACAGAUAAACUUCGACUGAUAUGCUUGUUCUACUACUUAUUGAAUUGUACACAAAGGCACGUUUUAUAACAUCAAGUUACUGAUGCGUUUACGUGCAAUCAAUGCACAACCAACUCAUAGGUAACAACUCAUAUCUCUAGGUUUAAAGAUUUAUAUGAUGUUAUCGUCUCACGAUCACUCGAGAUAAAUUCCAUGAAGUGAUACAAGUGAGCGUGGGUUUAUACCAAUACUCAUAACUUAUGAGUACUCAUGAAUGUUGCAGCAACCAUUGCCAUGCCUAAACACCUUUAAGGCAUCUACAAACCCAAUUCAUGACAAUCUUGAUUCAUACCUACUUCCGACGUAUGAUCGAUUGUGGAGGUUUGAACAAAUUAAUUAUUCUGGAAGUCAAAACAUGCAAAACUGAAACAAUAGUAAAUAAUUGACAAUGAUAGUAACACUUUACUCAUAAAUAAAUCACAAAUUUUAUUCAUCAUCAAACGUCGAUUACAUUUUACAAGUUUCAGGAAAACUAUCUAAUCUGUAAAACUAAUAUCGUCCCUCAGCCCGAUGCGUCUCGCAUGCUGAAAAUGCUUAACCCUCGUCAGUCCCUUCGUAAGGGGAUCUGCAGGAUUCUCAUCUGACGAUAUCCUCCUUGUCACAAGGAGUCCUUCUUCAAUCUUGUGCCUUAUGAAGUGAUAUUUUCUGUCAAUGUGUCGGGAUCUGCCAUGAUCUCUUGGUUCCUUGGCUAAGAUAACCGCAGCAUUGUUGUCACAGAAAAUCUCUAUAGGUUCCUUAAUAGCUGGUACAACUCCAAGGUCUCCGAUGAAGUUCUUUAGCCAUAUCGCCUCCUUCGCUGCUUCACUCGCUGCUAUAUACUCUGAUUCACAAGUCGAAUCAGCCACCGUCUCCUGCUUGGAACUCUUCCAAGAAAUUGCCCCUCCAUUUAAGGUAAAGAUCCAGCCCGACUGAGAGCGGAAAUUAUCCCUAUCAGUCUGAAAACCAGCAUCACUAUACCCUAAUAUUCUCAAGUCAUCACUGCCACCAAGGGUAAGGACCCAAUCCUUAGUCCUCCGCAGGUACUUGAGAAUGUUCUUUACCGCGGUCCAAUGAGCCUUGCCAGGGUUCCCCUGAUACCUGCUGACCAUGCUCAAAGCAAAUGCCACAUCAGGACGGGUACAAGUCAUAGCAUACAUGAUCGAGCCAACUGCGGAAGCAUAUGGUAAUUGGCUCAUCUCAGCUAUCUCAGCCUCUGUACUCGGACUCUGAGUCUUACUCAGUUUGGUAUUGCUUUGGAUCGGUAAAUCUCCUUUCUUGGAAUUCUCCAUGUUGAACCUUUUCAACACCUUAUCCAAGUAGAUACUCUGACUAAGUCCAAUUAGUCUUCUACUCCUUUCUCUUAAUAUCCUUAUCCCUAGGAUAUAGGUAGCCUCCCCUAGGUCCUUCAUAGCAAAGCACUUCCCAAGCCAGGACUUAACCUCCUGCAAGGUUGGGAUGUCAUUUCCUAUGAGUAGUAUGUCAUCCACAUACAGUACCAAGAAGCUAACUAUACUCCCACUAGCUCUGACAUACACGCAAGACUCAUCUUCGCUUCUCAAGAAGCCAAACUCUUUUACCUUCUCAUCAAAACAAAGAUUCCAGCUACGAGAUGCUUGUUUUAAUCCAUAAAUGGAUUUCUUAAGCUUGCAUACUCUAUUAGGGUACUCUGCAUUGACAAAACCCUCUGGCUGAUUCAUGUACACAUCCUCAGCCAACUUUCCAUUAAGGAAAGCGGUUUUGACAUCCAUUUGCCAUAUUUCAUAAUCAUGAAAUGCUGCAAUGGCUAACAUAACCCUAAUAGACUUAAUCUUGGCCACCGGCGAGAAGGUUUCAUCAUAAUCAAUACCUUGAGUUUGAGUAAAACCCUUCGCAACCAGUCGAGCCUUAUAAGUAUGCACUUUUCCUUCCAUGUCGGUCUUCUUUUUGAAGAUCCAUUUGCACCCGACUGUUUUACGGCCUGGUACAUUGUCAACCAAGUUCCAAACUUGAUUGUCAUACAUGGACUGUAUCUCGCUGUCCAUAGCCUCCUUCCAUUUAGCAGACUCCGGGCCUGCCAUGGCUUCCUUAACACUGCUAGGUUCAUCCAAAUUUACUAGUGUACUAUCACUAAUAAACGUAUCACCUUCCGUAGUAAUAUGAAAACCAUAAUAAAACGAAGGUGUGUUCCUAACCCGUGUGGAACGUCUCGGAGGUACAGACUCGUCAGCUGGAUCAACAGGAGUUUCUUCCUCAGGUUGAUUGCUAGUGUCUGAGGUUCCUUCACCAAUUGAUUCUUGAAUUUCUUCAAGAUCAAUCUGCCUCCCACUGUCUCCUUGGCUUAUAAAUUCUUUCUCGCGAAAGAUCCCUCUUCGUGCUACAAAGACCACAUUCUCACUGGGUCUGUAGAAAAGGUAACCGAAGGAUUUCUGUGGGUAGCCGAUGAAAAUACACCUUUCACUUCGGGGUUCAAGCUUAUCAUGAGUUUCACGCCUCACGAAGGCUUCGCAACCCCAAAUUUUGAUGUGGUCCAAAUUGGGAACCUUCCCAGUCCACAUCUCAUGAGGUGUUUUGGUAACCUUCUUUGUAGGGACUAGAUUAAGGAUAUGGGCGGCAGUCUCUAAGGCAUACCCCCAAAAAGAGAUUGGUAACGAAACUCGACUCAUCAUAGAGCGAACCAUGUCCAACAAGGUACGAUUACGCCUCUCAGCUACACCAUUCAGCUGUGGUGUCCUGGGAGGAGUCAAUUGUGAGACAAUCCCACACUCCUUAAGAUAGUCAAGGAACUCGGUACUAAGAUACUCACCACCUCGAUCGGAUCGAAGCAUCUUAAUGUUCCUGCCCAAUUGAUUUUCUACUUCCUGUUUGAAUUCCUUAAACCUUUCAAAGGUUUCGGACUUGUGUUUGAUCAAGUAGACAUACCCAUAUCUACUAUAAUCAUCAAUAAAAGUCACAUAAUACCGAUUAGCGUCCCUUGUGGCGGUUUUGAAUGGCCCACAUACAUCAGUAUGUAUUAGGUCCAACAAACCUUCACCCCUCUCACAAGUUCCAGUGAAGGGUGAUUUUGUCAUUUUUCCAAGUAGACAAGAUUCACAACUAUCAUCUGAUUUGAGGUCAAAUGAUUCCAAGACUCCACUCUUUUGGAGUUGGUCUAUGCGUUUCUUGUUUACAUGUCCAAGACGACAAUGCCACAAUGAUGCUUUAUCUAGGCUAGUAGAAGAAUCAAUAUACAACACAUUAUUUCCUAAGUUGUCUACAAUCGACACAGUUUCAUACACGCCAUCACAAGGUAAUGCUUUAAAAUAAAACACAUUAUUAAAGAAAGCAUUAAUACCACCACAUUCAUUAUCAAACGAAAAGGUAAAACCUUGUUUGUACAAAGCAUGAAAAGAAAUAAUAUUCCUCGCCAUUUCAGACGAGUAUACACAUUUAUUCAAAUCUAAUUUUAACCCAUUAUUAAGCAACAAAGUAUAAACUCCAAUCUUGGAAACAGGUGAAGCCUUCCUAUUCCCCAUGAUUAAGUUUAUCUUCCCGUGCUCCACAUCCUCACUUCUUCUUAGGCCCUGCAAAUCAGAACAUAUGUGAAUACCACAUCCUGUAUCAAGCACCCAAGAGUUAGAAUAUGUUGAGUAAUUAGACAAUAUAGUGUAAAUACCUGCAUAGGUGGGUUUCACUUUCCCAUCCUUUAGAUCCUGCAAGUACUUAGGGCAGUUUCGCUUCCAGUGUGCCUUUUCAUGGCAAUAAAAGCAUUCAGCAUCCUUUGGAAUGGCAGAAGGAGUGACAGAACCGUUCUUAGUCUUGGAUGAGGAGCCUUCAAGAGACUUUCCCUUGGUACCCUUCGAAGGGUGCUUCCUCUUUUUCCCUUUGCCUUGCCCAAUAGCUAAAACAGGGGUAGAAGUUGGAGUAGGAGUAGUAGAGGUAACAACCGCUUUACCCUUAAGACCGGUUUCAGCGGUCUUCAAGAGUCCUUGAAGCUUGCUGAGGGUAACUUCCUCCUUGUUCAUAUGAUAUGUCAUUCGAAAAUGAUCAUAACAAGAAGGCAAGGAGUGCAAAAUGAUGUCAAUUGCUAACUCCUCGGGGAUGUUAACAUUCAGCUUCAGCAAACGGUCCACAUACCUUUGCAUCUUUUGCAUGUGGCCCGUGACGGAUUCACCGUCCUUCAUGCGGGUAGUUAUUAUGGAGGAGAUUAUUUCAUACCGCUCCUGACGAGCACUCUGAUGGUACCUUUCCAUCAAGUCUUGGUGCAUCUCAAAAGGGUAGAAAUCUUCAUAUGACUUUUGGAGCUCGGCUGUCAUCGUGGCCAUCAUGAUACAUGCCACCUUAGUAGCAUCUCUCUCAUGAGUCCUGAAUUCAGCGAUCUCCUCAGGAGUAGCAGUAGACUCAUCAAGUUCUUUUAACUCCUUAUCGAGGACAUAUUCCUUGUCCUCGUAACGAGUAACCAUCCUGAUGUUCCUAAUCCAAUCCAUGAAGUUGGAACCAUCAAAGAUGACCCUCCCACAAAGAUUCAUGAGAGAGAAAGAACCAGUUGGGUUAGAGCCUGAAGCAUUAGUGUUGGAAGACAUCUGAAAGAAGAAAGUAAGUUUAGAUUAGAUAUUUAGGAUCCUUAAUAAGACACCCAAAUGUAAUAUUAAGGCUAGGAUCCAAUCACAAUAUAUUACACUUAGAAGAGGGAUGCCGUAAUCUAAGUAAUAAUAUAUUUGAAAGGUAGGCGAAUGACGAUUCACCAAUUUCCACCAUGAAAACGAAAUGAUUAAUUAGGUUUAAUUGGAUUUGAAAUUCCUAGAUUCUUUUGAGAUUCAUUGAACUUUUCAAUGGCAUGUUUCAAUCUCGAUUGUGCCCUUCAAGUUUUGUGACUGGGAUGCCGAGGAUCACAAAACAAGGUGUGAAUAACCAUGCUAACUCACUUGGUACUCCUAAUAUUAUCACCUAAUCAAUGUGCCGGUUAACCACACACGCUCCAUUGAUCUAUGACAACAUUAAGUUACCCUUCGUGAUCCUUACUAGUCUAAUUAGUGUGCCGGUUAACCACACACGCUCCACUAACGACUUGGUAAGGUACAAAGUGUGAAUUCCAUGGAUUAGCACCAUGUUCACAUUUUCCUAAAAUAACUAAGAUUGGGAAUUAAAAGAGUUUAGUUAUUUUAUAAUAUUCAUUAUACUUUUAAUGAGGAUUUAAAGUCGUUGUUCUACCCGUUCGGCUAACGACCCUCCACCGAUCAAGCAAGCGGUGGGUGAGAGUAUACACCCAUUAAGUCGCCAUUUUAUAGGCAACAACCUUAUACCCACCUUAUAGACCGGCUUCGUGAAUGAGGCCUACUAACGGUAAAACGACUUAUUCUUAUACAUAUAUAUAAUAAUUAACCAUUAAUGUUAUAAAUAGUAUAAGGGUUGAAUUUUAACUAUUAAAACUCUAAGGUUUGGAAUUAAAGUUUAUUAAAGUGUGUGAAACUUUACAAAUUCCAAAACUUGAGGACAAGUUUUGUAACUUUGCAAAACUCUUCAUUUCAUAACUUAUGAAUUAAAGGUUCAUAAAAAUGAAGACUCUUCAUUUUCAUGUAACUUAUGUGUUUUAAGUGUGUGUUAAAUGAAAGUGACCUUUGGUAAUCCAUAACUUGAGGACAAAUUAUGGACUCCAUUAAAACACAUAAAUGAUUAAGAAUUAAUUCUAAACAAUUCAGCAAAUAAUUCCUAUCAUUUUCUAAAUUCAUAAGAACAUGAACAUGAUCAUCAAAAAUUCAAGAAUUAUAUGAACACAUAAAAUCAUGGAUUUUUGAUAUAUGCUAUUGUAAAUGGAUUAGAACAACCAUUACACCAACUAAAAUAAGUUUUACAACACCAAAACAAUUUAGGGUAAUGUUUCCAGUCCAUUUCCAGCAGCAAAAGUCGAGAUUCUGCAUUCUUUCGAUCCUACUCGCCGAGUGCACGAACGGACUCGUCGAGUAGGUUGAAGUUUGCCUUGGACUCGGCGAGUCCCCCCAAUGGACUCGGCGAGUCUAGCAUGCAGACAGCAACGAUUUCAACUUUUUUCACUAUUUUGCAUCAAGUAUCAAACAAGCAAGCCUAGGCUCUGAUACCACUGUUGGGUUUUGAGCAAUCUAACACUUCCUAAGUGUGCAUGCAACCCUAAUAAACCUUGGAUCUAUGUUUUCUUCUAAAAUACAUGCAAAUAAUAAUUUCCAAGGUUUCUUCCUAACUAGCAUAGCAUAAGGAUUAUGAAUCAUAAAAGUACUAGUAGAAAUACAUACCUUUUGAUGAUGGUUGAUUGUUUGGAGUUUGAGAGACAAGCACCAAUAGUGUGAAUGCCUCAAAUGGAAUCACAAAUCACCACAAACACUUGGAAAACUUUGAGAGAGUAUUAUACUUUCUUAUGAAAUCGCCCACUACUAAGUCUCACACAACUAGUGCCACUAGUGGCUAUUUCAUGCAACAUAAGCAUGCUUAUAUAGUGUACAUGAUUAGGGUGAAACCCUAAUAACCCAUGACCUUUCCUUUUCCAAGGAUCCAUGGGUUAAAAGCUCCAUGGACUUCCAUACAAGCCUAGCCCAUUAACAAAUGAGUGUUAGC